CCUACGGGAGGCUGCAGUGGGGAAUAUUGGACAAUGGGGGCAACCCUGAUCCAGCCAUGCCGCGUGUGUGAAGAAGGCCCUCGGGUUGUAAAGCACUUUCAGUGAGGAAGAACGCCUGGUGGUUAAUACCCAUCAGGAAAGACAUCACUCACAGAAGAAGCACCGGCUAACUCCGUGCCAGCAGCCGCGGUAAUACGGAGGGUGCGAGCGUUAAUCGGAAUUACUGGGCGUAAAGCGCGCGUAGGUGGCUUGAUAAGCCGGUUGUGAAAGCCCCGGGCUCAACCUGGGAACGGCAUCCGGAACUGUCAAGCUAGAGUGCAGGAGAGGAAGGUAGAAUUCCCGGUGUAGCGGUGAAAUGCGUAGAGAUCGGGAGGAAUACCAGUGGCGAAGGCGGCCUUCUGGACUGACACUGACACUGAGGUGCGAAAGCGUGGGUAGCAAACAGGACUAGAUACCCCGGUAGUC
rnacentral:rRNA from 1 species